GUAGGUGGCAAGCGUUGUCCGGAAUUAUUGGGCGUAAAGCGCGCGCAGGAGGUUCUUUAAGUCUGAUGUGAAAGCCCACGGGCUCAACCGUGGAGGGUCAUUGGAAACUGGAGAACUUGAGUACAGAAGAGGAAAGCGGAAUUCCACGUGUAGCGGUGAAAUGCGUAGAGAUGUGGAGGAACACCAGUGGCGAAGGCGGCUUUCUGGUCUGUAACUGACGCUGAGGCGCGAAAGCGUGGGGAGCAAACAGGAUUAGAUACCCUGGUAGUCCACGCCGUAAACGAUGAGUGCUAAGUGUUAGGGGGUUUCCGCCCCUUAGUGCUGCAGCUAACGCAUUAAGCACUCCGCCUGGGGAGUACGGCCGCAAGGCUG
rnacentral:rRNA from 1 species